UGCCUCCCAAGUGCUGGGAUUAAAGGAGUGAGCCACCACUACCUGGCUUCAUACAAAUAUCCUAACUUUUAAAAGGAUCCUGGAGCAUGGACCUGCUAGUUCAGUGUUACCAGUUCAUUCUCCUAUUUCCUAAUGCUGGCAAGGUCUAACAGAGCCAUGCUGGUUACUUUUCAGUAAGUGGAUAACUUCACAAGCGCUGGCAGAGCCACGUAUUAUUUAAUAGUAUCUUGACAACUGGAUCAUCUCUGAACCAGCAGCCCAAAUCAACCAUGAUCCCUGGGAAGUAAGCAUUAACAGCCCUGCACCUCUCAAGGAAUCACAGGAAGAGUGAUUAGUCUUAAGUGAGUAACAAUUUAUGAUUUCACAGGAGUAGACGGACAAGAAGGCGUCUUUCAUUCAAGCUUGGCUUGUACUUUGUAAGAAUGAGCAAGUAGAAAAUUCAGUUAUGAUAGCACUCUUGAAAAGAAUUUCUAUGACCUUUAUUACAAAAUAUUUGCUAUCUCUGGAAACGUUGCUAGGCAACGAGAAGUUGCAGUUAAACACCAUUUGAUGUAUUUCAGAGGUGGAAAGAAUCUUAAGAAGUGAGGCAUGGCGCCAUAUACCUGGAACCCUAGAGGCCAGCCUGGUCUUGCUAGUGAGUUCCACCCAGCCAGCGUUGCAUGGCAAGACCUUGUGUCAAACAAACAAAUAUUAAAAAGUAUCAAUGCAAACAAGUUAAGCUACAGCAUGACCAGCAUCACUUAUUUCUUACAAUAUUAUUUAAAGAAUUUUUUUUGCAAGCUAUCCUUUCCCCUUCACUUAUUUUAUUCUGUAUGGCUAAUCUCACUGCCAAGAAAAGAAAACUACCUGUCCCUUUCUCUCACACUUCUCUGGAAACUUGGUGAUAAAAAUAAUCUCAAAGAGACUAACAUUUGUGAAAUUAUUUUAGUUUGUAAUUAUGUUUUAUGCCAGAUCACACAAGAGAUGGGCAUACUGGACUUUAUAUUCAUUUCUUGUGUUGCUUCCUACUUAUCAAUAAUGAUUUAGCCCUGUGUUCAUGAUUUUUAUCUAGGUCCAUAACAUACUUAUAUAUUUCAUUCUCCUGUUCCUCUAAUAGUUCGUGAAUCUAUGUUCUUUGUAAACCUUGCUUCAAGAUUCUAUUAGGAAUGCAAGAUUGUUAAUAUCACUAAUUACUGUUUGCAUAAUCUGAUUCUUUAAGAUGAGUCUUAAAUCUAUUUAUGUGUAAAAAUCUUCUCAAAGGAAGAAAGGAAGCAGUACAAACAGUGGCUCCAUCAACUACAAACAGACGCCUUCCUCGUCCUCUCCAUGGGGAAAAUUCUGACCAUAGGCCCUUUCGUUAGCUUGUGCUCACCUCCUAGUAAGAGAUCUCCUGACCCUGUUCCCUUGAUGUCUGCGUAACUCCUCACCAGUCUCUUGACUUAACCUCUCACCUCACAGGAAGUUUGUUCAUAUUCAGAACUUCCUGUGUUGCCACAACACAUCUCACUUUAGACUGCAGGAGCUUCCCGAGGGCGGAAGACUAAAGUCAUAGUCUAGUUUAUUACACGUAGUUCCACUAGAUGGCGUGCCACGUGAGAUAAAAAGGAAAUAGAUAGGAUGAGCAUCAUCUUAGUGCACUGCUUUGAAAGGCACUGAAUUAUCUUGGUCUAGCAACUUGUGCAUACGGGACACCUAAAUCACUGCCUUAGAAACAGAGGAAACAUGCAGGCGAUGACAUGUUCAGUACUGGCUGGUGUUUAGUUCUGAGAGGCUUGCCAGGCCUGAGCAGUUAGUUCUCAGUGAAGAAGACAAAACUGGGAUUGAGUGCUUUUUAUUUGCCAGGAUAGUUUCUGCUGUGAAAGUGGCUGAGGCAGACACCUAAAUGGGGCAGUAUUCUGACUCUGUUUAUUGUAACUGUUCCUCUAGAUCAGUGGUUUUUCAGCCUGUGGGUCAUGGCCCCUUGCGGUUACUUAUCAGAUAUCGAUAUUAUGAUUCAGAACCGUAGCACCAUUGCAGUUAUGAAGGAGCCACAAAAAUAAUUUUAUGGCUGGGGCUCACCACAACAUGAGGAACUGUAUAAAGGGGUCGCAGCAUUAGGGAGCUUGAGAACCAUGACUCUAGAUUGCUGAUUUGGGUUUUCUGGCUUUAAGAAUAUUCUAUGCCGUGACACCUAUAUCUGGGAGUCUCCACAUCCAUCAUUGGCUCUAAAAUCCAUUUUUUCCAUAGUCUAAGAAGAGAUGUUCAGCUUAUGUGGACCCCACUGUCUUUCUAUGUCACAGGGAAAGUCUACACACUUCCCUCUUCCCAUAUUGCAAACGACUGAGGGAUGUUUGCCUCUACUGCAUGAUACGGAGAGAGGCUUACACACCUCGUACCUCAUCUCAGUUUGCCUCCAGAGCUGGGCUUAACCCCUCAUGAGAUUGUUUCUACAACCAUGCCCAGCCAUACCACAUCUGUUUUCCUCUUUCUCUCUCUCUCUCUCUCUCUCUCUCUCUCUCUCUCUCUCUCUCUCUCUCUCUCUAUUGGGCAAUGAAAGCCUAAAUAUCUGCCUUAUAAACUCUCAAAGAAAAUCC
rnacentral:lncRNA from 1 species